CAUCUUAAAGGUCUCAUUCCCCGAGAAACCGUUUAAUACUUGUUCCUUUUGAAAUACUAUAGCUCACUCCAAGUUGCAUGCAUGCUGCACGUGAAAAUGAUCUUCUACCCCAUUGCCCGUGUAACCCAAUGAAUUGCCACUUCCCAUUAUGAUGCGCAAAAUUCCCUGGUAGCCCCUAGAUGCGUGCACGAGACAAAUGUUAAAAAACAACACGAGACAAAUGUUAAAAAACAACAACAGAAAACCGUCAAUCGGUAAAUGAAGAAGAAGUAGCACUACGUCUGAUGAGAGACGGAGAGAAAGAUUGAGAAGAUUUAAAAUACGGACGACUUCGAAAUCAUAAUAGAUACUUGGAACUACGGACACUUGGAUACUUAAAAACGAACAUUGGAAAACAAUAUAAAGAUCCUCUUUCCCCCGCACAAAGCUUUGAUGAUCACCCUUUGAAAAUAAAUGAAGAAAGAAGACUCUUCCCUUGUAUUUUGUACAUGGUACUGGAAUCCUGACUGGUUUUUGUUGUACCCCGAACAAAUCCUGUUGCCUUGCCCUGGAACUCUUGGAUACCUUCUGGAUUUCCCUCAUCGUCCUGGAUUUGGAUUCACCGUCGUCACCAUCUACAUCAACUUGCCCCUUCCUUUUGGACUGCCUGUUAGGCUACACAUCCCCUUACCCUUGUGAUUGUGGUAGGAUCUGGACAUUGCACUUUGCACAAGUUGGACUGAACCAUUUCCCCUUUUCAUUUAUUUUCUUUUCUUUAUUAUUUUCUUGAGUGCACUCACAUUUUGUUUUGGGUUGG